AAAGGGAGAAAUGCAAUGAGUCAAACCCUAGUGGAAGAGGAUCGGAUUGGCCUAACCUAUGGUGUACCGCCAGCAGCAGCAGAUCAAGAAAAGUAAAGUUUCCAGUUUUUAGGUUUUGUGGACUUGUAAGAGGGCAAGGAAG